rnacentral:snoRNA from 1 species
UCUGCACACAGUUAAAGCCUCGCACUGAUGUCGGUGUGAAGGUGUCGGAAGUGUGCUAAAGUGAUUCAGCCGGGAUUUCGCUAACACCAGUAGGGCUUAUGCGUCCUAUGACUGGGGUUUGAUAGCAACCUGAGCUACAUUC